AGCUCCAAUAGCGUAUAUUAAAGUUGUUGCGGUUAAAAGCUCGUAGUUGGAUUUCUACCGGAAGUGGUCGGUCCGCACUAUGUGCGUGUAUCUGAUUCAGUUCUGGUAUCCUCCUGGGGAACGGUGCUGCGCUUGAUUGCGUGGUCCGGAAUUCAGGACUUUUACUUUGAGGAAAUUAGAGUGUUUACGGCAGGCAAUCGCCUUGAAUACAUUAGCAUGGAAUAAUACUAUAGGACCUUGGUUCUAUUUUGUUGGUUUCUAGAACUAAGGUAAUGAUUAAUAGGAUCGGUCGGGGGCAUUUGUAUCAACACGUCAGAGGUGAAAUUCUUGGAUUGUGUUGCGACAAACUACUGCGAAAGCAUUUGCCAAGGAUGUUUUCAUUGAUCAAG
rnacentral:rRNA from 1 species